rnacentral:rRNA from 1 species
GACGAACGCUGGCGGCAUGCCUAACACAUGCAAGUCGAACGAAACCUCCGGGUCUUUUCGCGCAUGGGUUCGUAACGCGUGGGAAGCUGCCCUUGGGUUCAGCCUACCUCCCCGACAGGGGUGCUAAUACCAAAUAAUCUCUUAUGCCCAAGGAUUUUUUGCCUUUGGUUGUUCCCGCGUUGGAUUAGCUCGUUGUUAGGGUAAUAGCCUACCAAGGGGACGAUUCAUAGCUGGUCUGAGAGGAAGAUCAGCCACACUGGGACUGAGACACGGCCCAGAAUCUUACGGGAGGGAGCAGAGGGGAAUAGAGGAAAGUGGGGGAAAGGCUGAUCCAGCAAGGACGCGUAAGUGAUGAAGGCAGUAGGGAUGUAAUGCGCUAUUAACCGGGAUGAUAAUGACAGUACCGGGAGAAUAAGCUCCGGCUAACUACGUG